rnacentral:rRNA from 1 species
UCGGGAAUAUUGCGCAAUGGAGGAAACUCUGACGCAGUGACGCCGCGUAUAGGAAGAAGGUUUUCGGAUUGUAAACUAUUGUCGUUAGGGAAGAUAAAAGACUGUACCUAAGGAGGAAGCCCCGGCUAACUAUGUGCCAGCAGCCGCGGUAAUACAUAGGGGGCAAGCGUUAUCCGGAAUUAUUGGGUGUAAAGGGUGCGUAGACGGAAGAACAAGUUGGUUGUGAAAUCCCUCGGCUCAACUGAGGAACUGCAACCAAAACUAUUCUCCUUGAGUGUCGGAGAGGAAAGUGGAAUUCCUAGUGUAGCGGUGAAAUGCGUAGAUAUUAGGAGGAACACCAGUGGCGAAGGCGACUUUCUGGACGAUAACUGACGUUGAGGCACGAAAGUGUGGGGGAGCAAACAGGAUUAGAUACC